UACGGGGGGAGCAAGCGUUGUUCGGAUUUACUGGGCGUAAAGGCGCGUAGGCGGCCACCGCAAGUCGAUUGUGAAAUCUCCGGGCUUAACUCGGAACGGUCAAGUGAUACUGUCGGACUAGAGUACAGAAGGGGCAACUGGAAUUCUCGGUGUAGCGGUGAAAUGCGCAGAUAUCAGGAAGAACACCCGUGGCGAAGGCGGCUCUCUGGGACGGUACUGACGCUGAGACGCGAAAGCGUGGGGAGCGAACAGG
rnacentral:rRNA from 1 species